rnacentral:rRNA from 1 species
UACAGAGGGUGCGAGCGUUGUCCGGAAUCACUGGGCGUAAAGGGCGCGUAGGCGGCUGGCUAAGCGGGUGGUGAAAGCCCGGGGCUCAACCCCGGGUCGGCCAUGCGAACUGGUCAGCUGGAGCACGGUAGAGGCACAUGGAAUUCCGGGUGUAGCGGUGGAAUGCGUAGAGAUCCGGAAGAACACCGGUGGCGAAGGCGGUGUGCUGGGCCGUAGCUGACGCUGAGGCGCGACAGCGUGGGGAGCAAAC